ensembl:misc_RNA Metazoa_SRP Metazoan signal recognition particle RNA
GCCGGGCGCGGUGGCUCACGCCUGUAAUCCCAGCACUUUGGGAGGCCGAGGCUGGUGGAUCACCUGAGGUCAGGAGUUCUAGACCAGCCUGGCCAACAUGGUGAAACCCCGUCUCUA